rnacentral:rRNA from 1 species
GAUGAACGCUGGCGGCGUGCCUAAUACAUGCAAGUCGAGCGAACAGACGAGGAGCUUGCUCCUCUGACGUUAGCGGCGGACGGGUGAGUAACACGUGGAUAACCUACCUAUAAGACUGGGAUAACUUCGGGAAACCGGAGCUCAUACCGGAUAAUAUAUUGAACCGCAUGGUUCAAUAGUGAAAGACGGUUUUGCUGUCACUUAUAGAUGGAUCCGCGCCGCAUUAGCUAGUUGGUAAGGUAACGGCUUACCAAGGCGACGAUGCGUAGCCGACCUGUGAGGGUGAUGGGCCACACUGGAACUGAGACACGGUCCAGACUCCUACGGGAGGCAGCAGUAGGGAAUCUUCCGCAAUGGGCGAAAGCCUGACGGAGCAACGCCGCGUGAGUGAUGAAGGUCUUCGGAUCGUAAAACUCUGUUAUUAGGGAAGAACAAAUGUGUAAGUAACUAUGCACGUCUUGACGGUACCUAAUCAGAAAGCCACGGCUAACUACGUG